rnacentral:sRNA from 1 species
AGAAAAGUAGGUGCCGCCCCGCACAGGGGCAACGCUAAUAAACCGAAAGCAAAACGCGGAUGCCAGCGCAGUGAAAAGCAAAAACCAGAAUGGCGACUAGCAUCGC